UUGGGUUGCCGAGAAGUUUGUUUGGGCAUUUUUCUACAGUGUUAGGAAAAACCUGGACAAACUUUUUGGUCAACCCA
rnacentral:miRNA from 1 species